rnacentral:rRNA from 1 species
UACAUGGAGUCGAGCGGCAGAUGGGAGCUUGCUCCCUGAUGUCAGCGGCGGACGGGUGAGUAACACGUGGGUAACCUGCCUGUAAGACUGGGAUAACUCCGGGAAACCGGGGCUAAUACCGGAUGCUUGAUUGAACCGCAUGGUUCAAUUAUAAAAGGUGGCUUUUAGCUACCACUUACAGAUGGCCCCGCGGCGCAUUAGCUAGUUGGUGAGGUAACGGCUCACCAAGGCAACAAUGCGUAGCCGACCUGAGAGGGUGAUCGGCCACACUGGGACUGAGACACGGCCCAAAUUCCUACGGGAGGCAGCAGUAGGGAAUCUUCCGCAAUGGACGAAAGUCUGACGGAGCACCGCCCCUUGAGUGAUGAAGGUUUUCGGAUCGUAAAACUCUGUUGUUAGGGAAGAACAAGUACCGUUCGAAUAGGGCGGUACCUUGACGGUACUUAACCAGAAAGCCACGGCUAACUACGUGCCAGCA